rnacentral:rRNA from 1 species
CGGAGGGGCGUAGCGUUGUUCGGAAUUACUGGGCGUAAAGACGCACGUAGGCGGAUUGGAAAGUUAGGGGGUGGAAAUCCCGGGGCGUCAACCCCGGAACCUGCCUUCAAAACUCCCAGUCUGGAGGUCGAGAGAGGUGAGUGGAAUUCCGAGUGUAGAGGUGAAAUUCGUAGAUAUUCGGAGGAACACCAGUGGCGAAGGCGGCUCACUGGCUCGAACCUGACGCUGAGGUGCGAAAGCGUGGGGAGCAAACAGGAUU